UACGUAGGUGGCAAGCGUUGUCCGGAUUUACUGGGCGUAAAGAGCGCGCAGGCGGUCGUGCAAGUCGCGUGUGAAAGCCCCCGGCUCAACUGGGGAGGGUCACGCGAUACUGCUCGACUCGAAGGCAGGAGAGGGAAGUGGAAUUCCCGGUGUAGUGGUGAAAUGCGUAGAUAUGACAUAGAACAUCGAUUGCGAAGGCAGCUCGCUACACUAUUAUUGACACUGAGGCACGAAAGCGUGGGGAUCAAACAGG
rnacentral:rRNA from 1 species